GAUCAUCGAUCUGACCUCGGUUGCGCAAGGGCGAAAAUGAGACACAAGAAUUCCGGCAGAUACAAACAGAAGUGAUGGAUUUAUUGAGGAUUACAUCAAAUAAUCCAGGAGCUGUGAAUCAGUAGACAAAAAUGGAUAAAGUCGAAAUCAAAGAAGAAGAUUCUGAAAUAAUCUCGAAAAGUGUACGCGUUUUCUGAAAAAAAUUAAUAAAGAGUGUUGAUUA
rnacentral:lncRNA from 1 species